UACAACAGCCUCAGACCCAUUGAAUUGUAAGCAGUAGAUUUGGAUCCCAAAAACCAUGGAUAAAAAUGAGGCCAAACUCAUGUCCAGCCUCACACACUGUCAUGCUUGUUUCUUAUAAUCAUCCACUUUAAUGAUUAUUAUUAUAAUUAUUUUGAUGGCACGUUUUAGUGAUGAUUAACUUGCUGAAUUCUUGGUAAAGCUGCUUUACGAGGCUUCAAAUAGUAGCUUGUAUUUUGACUCUUUCAUUUUGGAUGAUAACUUAUUAGAUAUGUGGUUCAGGGAUUGAUAUUGCUCAUGAUGAAGUGGAGAAAACUUGAUUUGUAUACGGGAAAAUGACAGGGAAGUUGAUUUAUUCUCACAUAUUAUCUUGGGAAGCCUGUUAAUCUCUGGACUGAACCAGACUACGAUGCUGAGUUCUGAAUCCUUGCUUAUGUAAUAUGGUCCAAUUUUUUUCCCCCGAGGUUAAAAGACUUAUCGAUUAUUUACCAAGUUUUCUAAGCUUAACAGGCUUCCCAUGAUAUUGUGGGAGGAAAAAUCACCUUCGUUGAUAUUUUUCCCGUAUACAAAUUGAGCUUUCUCUGCUUCAUCACAAAUCCAAACCCAGGAUUUGCCAACCAGUCACAAAAAAACUGAAAAAUAGUAAGGAUCAUCAAUCCUGCAUUUUCCCAGAUUGGGUCUUCCUCAUCUGAUACUAAGUUUUAAAAGCCUUCAUGUAAGGCUUCAAACUCUUGCUGGCCCUUGUCAGGCCUCCUUAUAUUUCGAAAUUUUAUCUGUUGCUCAAGUAACUUCCUUCACCUUCAGUACAUGGAAGUCUAGAGGCAUGAUUUCCCAUUGUUGUUCUUGAUCUUAUAGCUGAUUCUAUAGUCUAGUACUUUAAUUUUGGCCGUGGACUUCUAUUUUGUGUAGAAGUGUUUAAAUUUAAUUUGACUCUUCUGUGCAGCUGGAAGAACUCCGGGCUGAUAUUGUAGACGUGAAAGAGAUGUAUAGAGAGCAAGUAAACAUGCUUGUGAACAAGAUCCAGAUUUUGAGUUCCAGUGGUGCCUCUUGAUCAUCAUGUUUGGAAUGUCACGUCUGGUAUAUAACCUUUCUGUUUAGUGCUUGAAUCUUCCUUCUAUGUGCGUCCUUUCAAAUGUUGGUUUGUAAUGUUUCAGCUGGAGAUACAAUACACUGGCUCAUUUCCUUGUGAAUCCUUCUGAGCCUCCAUCCUAACCCACAGUUUUCGAGGAGUGGUUGUAUAUCAUGAUGGAUCGUUGAUGAUACUGAAAUUCACACUUCAUAAUAAAUACUAAUUUUUUCCUUGCGAA